rnacentral:rRNA from 1 species
AGUCGAGCGGGGGAGUUUGUUUCAGUAAUUGACCUACCGGCGGACGGGUGAGUAAUACUUAAGCAUUCUGNCUAUUAAUGGGGGACAACAUCUCGUUAAGGGAUGCUACUACCGCAUACGCCCUACUGGGGUAAAGCAGGGUGAUCACUUGUGACCUUGCAUUAAUAAAUGAGCCUACCUCUNAUUAGCUAGUUGGGGGGGUAAAGGCCUACCAAGGCNACGAUCUGUAUCGGGACUGAGAGGAUGAUCCNCCUGACUGGGACUGACACACGGCCCACACUCCUACGGGAGGCANCAGUGGNNAAUAUUGGAGAAUGGGGGGAACCCUGAUCCAUCCNUGCCGCGUGNGUGAAGAACGCCUUAUGGUUGUAAGGNUCUUUACGCGAGGAGGAGGCUCUUCUGGUUAAUACCUGAGAGGACUGGACGUUACUCGNACAAUAAGCUCCGGGUAACUCUGUGCCAGCAUCCGCGGUAAUACAGAGGGUGCGAGCGUUANUCGGAUUUACUGGGCGUAAAGCGUGCGUUNUGCGNCUUUUUAAAUCGGAUGUNAAUUCCCCGAGCUUAACUUGGGAAUUGCAUUCGAUACUGGUAAGCUAGAGUAUGGGAGAGGAUGGUAGAAUUCCANNUGNGUAGCGGUNGAAAUGNCUAGAGAUCUGGAGUGAAUACCGAUGGCGAAGGCCANCCAUCUGACCUNAUUACNUGACGCUGACGUACGAAAGCAUNGNGGAGCAAACACGAUNAGAUACCCUNGCCAGUCCAUGNCNGAAAACAAUGUCUACUAGACCGUUGGGGCCUUUGAGGCUUUAGUNGGCGCAUCUAACGCGAUAAAGUAGANUCCGCCUGGGGAGUUCGGUCGCAAGACUAAAANUNAAAUGAAUUGACGGGGGCCCGCACNAGCGGUGGAGCAUGUGGUUUAAUUNUGAUGCAACGCGAAGAACCUUACCUGGUCUUGNCAUAGUAAGAACUUUCCAGAGAUGGNUUGUUNCCUUCGGGANNUUACANACAGGUGCUNCAUGNCNNUCNUCAGNUCGUNUCGUGAGAUGNUGGGUUAANUCCCNCANCGAGCNCANCCCUUUUCNUUAUUUCCCAGCANUUCGGNUGGGAACUUUAACNAUACUGCCAGUGACAAACUGGAGGAAGGCGGGGANGACGUCAAGUCAUCAUGGCCCUUACGCCCAGGGCUACACACGUGCUACAAUGGUCGGUACAAAGAGGNUGCNACCUAGCGAUCGGAUGCUAAUCUCAAAAACCCGAUCCUAGUCCGGAUUGGA